rnacentral:tRNA from 1 species
UGGGGUUUGGCUCAGUGUGUAGAGUACUUGCCUGGCAUGCAGGAGGCCCUGGAUUCUAUCCUCAGAACAACAU